rnacentral:rRNA from 1 species
GAGUUUGAUCAUGGCUCAGAUUGAACGCUGGCGGCAGGCCUAACACAUGCAAGUCGAACGGUAACAGGAAACAGCUUGCUGUUUCGCUGACGAGUGGCGGACGGGUGAGUAAUGUCUGGGAAACUGCCUGAUGGAGGGGGAUAACUACUGGAAACGGUAGCUAAUACCGCAUAACGUCGCAAGACCAAAGAGGGGGACCUUCGGGCCUCUUGCCAUCAGAUGUGCCCAGAUGGGAUUAGCUAGUAGGUGGGGUAACGGCUCACCUAGGCGACGAUCCCUAGCUGGUCUGAGAGGAUGACCAGCCACACUGGAACUGAGACACGGUCCAGACUCCUACGGGAGGCAGCAGUGGGGAAUAUUGCACAAUGGGCGCAAGCCUGAUGCAGCCAUGCCGCGUGUAUGAAGAAGGCCUUCGGGUUGUAAAGUACUUUCAGCGGGGAGGAAGGGAGUAAAGUUAAUACCUUUGCUCAUUGACGUUACCCGCAGAAGAAGCACCGGCUAACUCCGUGCCAGCAGCCGCGGUAAUACGGAGGGUGCAAGCGUUAAUCGGAAUUACUGGGCGUAAAGCGCACGCAGGCGGUUUGUUAAGUCAGAUGUGAAAUCCCCGGGCUCAACCUGGGAACUGCAUCUGAUACUGGCAAGCUUGAGUCUCGUAGAGGGGGGUAGAAUUCCCGGUGUAGCGGUGAAAUGCGUAGAGAUCUGGAGGAAUACCGGUGGCGAAGGCGGCCCCCUGGACGAAGACUGACGCUCAGGUGCGAAAGCGUGGGGAGCAAACAGGAUUAGAUACCCUGGUAGUCCACGCCGUAAACGAUGUCGACUUGGAGGUUGUGCCCUUGAGGCGUGGCUUCCGGAGCUAACGCGUUAAGUCGACCGCCUGGGGAGUACGGCCGCAAGGUUAAAACUCAAAUGAAUUGACGGGGGCCCGCACAAGCGGUGGAGCAUGUGGUUUAAUUCGAUGCAACGCGAAGAACCUUACCUGGUCUUGACAUCCACGGAAGUUUUCAGAGAUGAGAAUGUGCCUCCGGGAACCGUGAGACAGGUGCUGCAUGGCUGUCGUCAGCUCGUGUUGUGAAAUGUUGGGUUAAGUCCCGCAACGAGCGCAACCCUUAUCCUUUGUUGCCAGCGGUCCGGCCGGGAACUCAAAGGAGACUGCCAGUGAUAAACUGGAGGAAGGUGGGGAUGACGUCAAGUCAUCAUGCCCCUUACGACCAGGGCUACACACGUGCUACAAUGGCGCAUACAAAGAGAAGCGACCUCGCGAGAGCAAGCGGACCUCAUAAAGUGCGUCGUAGUCCGGAUUGGAGUCUGCAACUCGACUCCAUGAAGUCGGAAUCGCUAGUAAUCGUGGAUCAGAAUGCCACGGUGAAUACGUUCCCGGGCCUUGUACACACCGCCCGUCACACCAUGGGAGUGGGUCGCAAAAGAAGUAGGUAGCUUAACCUUCGGGAGGGCGCUUACCACUUUGUGAUUCAUGACUGGGGUGAAGUCGUAACAAGGUAACCGUAGGGGAACCUGCGGUUG